UAUUGGACAAUGGGGGGAACCCUGAUCCAGCGACGCCGCGUGAGUGAAGAAGUAUCUCGGUAUGUAAAGCUCUAUCAGCAGGGAAGAAGAAAUGACGGUACCUGAGUAAGAAGCGCCGGCUAACUACGUGCCAGCAGCCGCGGUAAUACGUAGGGGGCAAGCGUUAUCCGGAAUUACUGGGUGUAAAGGGAGCGUAGACGGUGAUGUAAGUCUGGGGUGAAAGGCGGGGGCCCAACCCCCGGACUGCUCUUGAAACUAUGUGACUGGAGUGCAGGAGAGGUGAGCGGAAUUCCUAGUGUAGCGGUGAAAUGCGUAGAUAUUAGUAGGAACACCAGUGGCGAAGGCGGCUCACUAGACUGUAACUGACGUUGAGGCACGAAAGUGUGGGGAGCAAACAGG
rnacentral:rRNA from 1 species